rnacentral:tRNA from 1 species
GCGAGGAUGGCGGAACUGGCAGACGCGCCGGCCUUAGGAGCCGGUGGGGCGACCCGUGGGGGUUCGACUCCCCCUCCUCGCACCA